GUGGGGAAUAUUGCACAAUGGGCGAAAGCCUGAUGCAGCGACGCCGCGUGAGCGAAGAAGUAUUUCGGUAUGUAAAGCUCUAUCAGCAGGGAAGAUAAUGACGGUACCUGACUAAGAAGCACCGGCUAAAUACGUGCCAGCAGCCGCGGUAAUACGUAUGGUGCAAGCGUUAUCCGGAUUUACUGGGUGUAAAGGGAGCGCAGGCGGUGCGGCAAGUCUGAUGUGAAAGCCCGGGGCUCAACCCCGGUACUGCAUUGGAAACUGUCGUACUAGAGUGUCGGAGGGGUAAGCGGAAUUCCUAGUGUAGCGGUGAAAUGCGUAGAUAUUAGGAGGAACACCAGUGGCGAAGGCGGCUUACUGGACGAUAACUGACGCUGAGGCUCGAAAGCGUGGGGAGCAAACAGGAUUAGAAACCCGUGUAGUCC
rnacentral:rRNA from 1 species